AGUGAACGCUGGCGGUAGGCCUAACACAUGCAAGUCGAACGGCAGCACAGUAAGAGCUUGCUCUUACGGGUGGCGAGUGGUGGACGGGUGAGGAAUACAUCGGAAUCUACUUUUUCGUGGGGGAUAACGUAGGGAAACUUACGCUAAUACCGCAUACGACCUACGGGUGAAAGCAGGGGAUCUUCGGACCUUGCGCGAUUGAAUGAGCCGAUGUCGGAUUAGCUAGUUGGCGGGGUAAAGGCCCACCAAGGCGACGAUCCGUAGCUGGUCUGAGAGGAUGAUCAGCCGCACUGGAACUGAGACACGGUCCAGACUCCUACGGGAGGCAGCAGUGGGGAAUAUUGGACAAUGGGCGCAAGCCUGAUCCAGCCAUACCGCGUGGGUGAAGAAGGCCUUCGGGUUGUAAAGCCCUUUUGUUGGGAAAGAAAAGCAGCAGGUUAAUACCCCGCUGUUCUGACGGUACCCAAAGAAUAAGCACCGGCUAACUUCGUG
rnacentral:rRNA from 1 species